rnacentral:rRNA from 1 species
UACAGAGACUGCAAGCGUUAUUCGGAUUCACUGGGCGUAAAGGGUGCGCAGGCGGCCGUGUGUGUCAGAUGUGAAAUCCCGAGGCUUAACCUCGGAACUGCGUCUGAAACUACUCGGCUAGAGUAUUGGAGAGGGUAGCGGAAUUCACGGUGUAGCAGUGAAAUGCGUAGAUAUCGUGAGGAACACCAGAGGCGAAGGCGGCUACCUGGACAAUUACUGACGCUCAGGCACGAAAGCGUGGGGAGCAAAAGGG